UUUUUUUUUUUUUUGCAACUUAUCUUAAAGCCCUGACCAUUAUUUCUAAUAUAGUGAUUAUAGAAUGUGAAAAGUUUGAGGUACCUCAUAUUUUUCAGUGGUAAUGUACUUGUCACUCCUUCAGAGACAAAGACCUUUGGAAACAGCAAGGAAAAUGGGGAAAAGAGAACUCUAGUCUAGAGUUAACCUUCUUGCAACCAAUCCUUUCAACUCAACUCACUCUCGUACGUAAUGCUUGGGGUAACACUACAAGGUGCACUGCCUGCAGGCCAGCACUGGCCCUGCCAGACCACAGAACAGAGACUUUCCAUUACAAGAUCCACAAAAAUUAUGAACCUUCAACAGCUCCUCCCUUUUCUCCCCUCUGUUCCCACCCAGGCCAUGCCAAGCCUCGCUUUACAAAGGGGAUGAUUCCUCAUCCCUCAUAUUUUCCACUGCAAGUUUCCACUAAUGAGCACAGUUACCCAGUUCUGAAGGAGGUCUCCUUUCUCAUUCAAGGAAAGGGAAUAAAAACCUCGAUAGUUGGUACAUUCUGCAUCCUUUUGAAACAUCUUACUUUACAUAAAUAUGUUAUUUCCAACCAACCCAUUUUUAUUGUUCAUUUAGAAUACAACCAGCUUUUUUAUUGCAAAAUAACACUUAUUGAGAAAUAGUCCUUUAGCAGAUUUCAUUCUUUCCCUAUUUUUCACCCAGCCCAAAUGCAUACACACAAUAAAUAAGCUAUAAUUUUGGUUCUAAAACAGCUGUCAUCUCAUAAAAACUUGCUGCUCACAAGCAAUGUUUGUUGCACAUUCAAUCCUAUAAGGAUAUAAUACACAUAAUUAUGCUAUUGUUAUUAAGGCAAUCAUAACAGAUACCAUAUGGACUUUAAAGUGGCUUUGAGAACCAUUUUUUAAUAAACGCAACAUCACUGACACAUUUUGGAAGAAAAAUCCAUUCCCUAAACUGCACACUAUUGGUAAUAUAUAUAGCCUACUCCUUUUGGGGUGUUUUUACACUGGAUGCAAUGAGAGUAACAAUACAACUCAUAGCUUCUAUUGAGAUCUCACUUUCAAAGGCUCUCCAGACUCACUGCACAUCAUGUUUUUAAUACAACAGUGACUGCAUGCCAGAAUUCAAUGCUCCUGCAAAUAUGCCAACUUGUAGCUACUUUCAAAAUGAGCUACUCACUAGGAAUUAGUGCCAGGGUAAAUCAAUGGCACAUUCAGCUAGAUGUCCCAGCUCUGCAAAAUGAAUUAUACGCUAUAUACAGUCCUUUUGUACAUGUCUGGUUUUUUUGUAUCUUUAUCAACGAAAGCUGAAAAGAGUAGAAAUGAAGUUCCAGAAGGCUGUAAAUUAUCCAGCAAAGGAUUAGCAGAACAGGAAGCAAUCUUGUCUACCUGCAUGUUUAAAUACUGGAUUCAUGUAUUAGAAUAAAUUCUACACUGCCUAAACCAUUUCACCCCUUCUCAAAAAACGCUGCUUUCUUUGGAUUGUUCCCACUGUGACACACACAGAGUGGUGGGAUGCUGGGAGCUGCACCAGCAGCCUACUAAUAGCUGAGUGCUGGGUUGCUGAGGAAAAAAAAAAUAAGUCACUUAAGUUGUAACAGCUAAUGGGUGGUAGAUAAUUGGGGGCAGCAAAACUGAACUUUUGAAUGCUCAAACACAAACCUGCUACUUGCUAGCUGCAGCUGGUAUGAACAUGACAGAAUCAAAAACUAGGAGGAGGAUCCCACGUGCUUCUGCACGUGGGACUGUUAGACUGGGAAAACAGGGAAGCAGAAAGAAGGAAGAGAAGAUGCUGGUUAGAUCCUGGAGUUCUGUCUCAUGUAUGGGGGCAGAUAUCAGGAGCUACUUGUGAACCUGACUUUCUGUCCCACCUCCUACAGCCAAGAUCAUCCUUGUGGAGAAGACCACAGAUCAUCCAACAGGCUAAAGUCUCUCAUCUGUUGGUUCUUAAAUAAACUGCAGUAUCCAGAGAUACUAUGUACAGUAGGGGUUUUGCUCCCAUGCUUUUAAAAAAUAAGUGUUUCACUCAUGACAUGGAGGUCAUCGCCAUUUCUUUAAAAAAAAAACAUACUGCCAAGUGCACACUUGACCAAUGUGCAAUGCUCUUAUUGCAAAAUCCAGUAAGCCUCAGGGCUGUCCACUCUUACGAACAGCAGGUAAAUUUUAGAAAUAAUUGAACCUUGUGGAGAUGUGUUUGUGAGGGAGGAGCCUUCUCCAGAAGGCUAAACAGCAAUUUGCAGAAGAAGUCUCAGCAGCCUGAUUGUGUCCCGUUUAUAAAACCUUCUUAUUCAGUACCUUUUCAUUCCCUUCAGACAUUCAAUCAAUUUUCCAUCCGCAUCUCAAAAGUAAGACCGACUCUACAAGUUGUGUGCAGUUGUUCCAUGUGUUAAUCAUCUCCUCCUACAGAACCAACUUCCUUUAUCUACUACAACCUCAGAGGAACAUGUCUAAUUCCACCUGACUUCACCAUUCAGUGAUAGUAUAUCAUAUUUAUUUUCAUAUGGAUUAUGCACAGUGCCUUCGGCGCUUAUACUAUGGGCAUUUUAUAAGUGUAAACUUGAUUGAUUGGUCACAAGACUGUUUUCGAUAGCUGUAAAAUGGAUUUGGCCCCCAGCCACGGUUUGCUCAGCAGAGAUAUACUUUAGGACUGAGAUAACUUCAACAAUUCAUAGCACAUAUGCUAAGAAAUGUUACAAACCCGUAUUUGUACGGUUGGCAUUAUACAUGCAUCACUAAACAUUUCUCAAUAGCAACGCGUACUACAACAUAUAAGAGAAUUCUGGCUGGAUAUUUAUCGGGAAAGAAGACUAAUGAAAAUGUGUUUUCAAUAAGUGGUGUGAAGUCAGCCCACUCUGUGCUGAUUAGAUGCAGUGGCAGUACAGAAACAGCCUUAUUCAGCAUAAUACGAAGCAAUCACCCGCUGUACACAGCCUUGAAUUGGGAGCUUCAUGCUUUAUGCUGAGUGACUAAAUGCAAAAAAAUCAAGAUGACUGCAUUAAUUGCCAUCUUCUUCUUGAAUGGCAAAAAGAAAUCCAACAUCUAACGCCACCUCUCCACCUGGAUUCUUUUAACACGGUUUUCUCAAGUGCGGUUCAAAAAACCCCCUUUGUAAGAUUAUCUCACUAUACUAACGUAAUUUUUAUCAAGGUACAAAGGUAUCACCCUUCUAGGAAGCCAUUGUUUUUAUAUAAACUAUGCAAGCUUGAUAUUAAGAUUUUUUCAUAUGCAGAAUUGUAUCUUCAUACCAUUUUAUGCUUCUCUUUCUUGUAAGUUGCAAAGGAGCCCUUGUGUAAGCUGGUAUUUCUAUUCUUGAAAUCUGGUCUUUUAGAGUCUUCAGUUUUGAAAGAAGUUGACUAUUUUCAAGCAGUUUAGAUAAAAAUAAGGUUUUCCUAAAUAGCCGUUAACUUUCUAGGGUUCUAGAGCUUCCCAGUACUGAACUGGGAACGACAAAGACUGUAACCAUUAAAGCCACCCUUGUAAUGGAUCAUCAACUAUGCUAUUUCUACACUACCUUCAAAUAAUAGUCAAACCAAUACAUUUCAUUAAAACAUGUAAUUCUUUUGUUCUGAUGUAUUUGCAAACUACUACCUGUAAAAAUGUGGAAGCAUUACAGCCACCUUGAUAUGCAUGGUCUGGGUUCUUACAAACAUUUGAGAAGGAAUUCAUUUUUAAUCUUUAUGCAUUGAAUAAUCCUUUCUAUACCAACUCACACAUACAACUUUAUUGCUAGUAUAAAGCAAAGCAUUUAAUUCAGAUAAGGACUAGGUAAGCAUUUUGGACAGUCUUACUUCUCUUUGCAAAAGCAUGGCUCCAGUCACAAACAGCAGGAAACUCUCUCAUUAGCCUCUAAACCUUGGACGUAGUAAUUUCACAAACCUCAGCCAAGCAGAAAGCAGCAUUUGUCCAUGCCAGAUACAAGCACUUCUUUCUAAAUAUCAUUUUAAGUCUGUUUUUCUUCUCUACAAUGAAAUAGGCCAGAUUUUUUUCUCCUGCAAUAAAAGCUAAAAUAAUUUUCAGGUACUGUCUCCAAAAAGCUCUGCUGGACACCACUGAAUCAGCAGCACUAAGGAAAAAACAGCUUUUUCCUCUUUGAGACAGUCCUGAUGUUAACUUAGAAAUAUUCUUACAGGCUGAUUCACUACAGCACCAAAGCAUAUGUUCACCUUUAGGAGUGCACAACUGACGUAAACUUAAAAGGCCCAUGUUAAUGGUUUGCUGGAUCAGGUCCUAGUCCACAGUUGGUUAUCCACUUAAUCUGUUGCUGAUCCUCUGUGUGCUCACAGGGACUUAGAAGAUGGCAUGGGAAAAUAGGAAUAAAAAGAUACAGAGACAAGAUGGACCAUAAUGAUAGUUCACUGAAUCAUCAAGAGUGUGGCUUUUCAACCACAGACAACUGUUAAAUCAAAUCAAAAUAGGGUUUGGGGAUCAAUGAAACCAUAUUGCUGGAAUCAUGCUGUUAACUGGCACCUGAACAUAAACUAACACAAUUAAGCUACCACAGCUCAGGCUACCAGUAAUGUUAAAUUUCACUCCUUGGACUGCAAAGCUUUUUUGACUGUCUUCUUUUUUACUUCCUUAAGUUAAGUUGAUUUUUAAGGCAAUCUGUUAAAGUCAGAAAGCAUAUUUUUCUCCCCUCAACAAAGAACAUCCUUAGUGGCAUGGAAAUGUCACUUUGCCAACAAUUAAAAAGGCCUGAUUUAUACAGUCUUUAGUAUCAGUGCAUGGGACAAUGAGAUGCUUCCAGAAAAUCACACAAUUAUGUAUUUUCUGUCUCCAGGGAAAACCACAGAGAUGUGGGCCAACACAGUUAUAUGUCAUUUACAAAAUGAAACAUGGCACUUGAUAAAGAAAGAAUAUCUUCUAGGUAGGAUGCUUGCUAAGUAGGUCCAAGCUGUCAAAGCAUCAAAGACAUCACCUUUUCCUUCUGUCACUCAGAGCACUGGCAACCCAUG
ensembl:lncRNA